UACGUAGGGGGCUAGCGUUGUCCGGAAUCAUUGGGCGUAAAGAGCGUGUAGGCGGCCCGGUAAGUCCGCUGUGAAAGUCGGGGCUCAACCCUCGAAUGCCGGUGGAUACUGUCGGGCUAGAGUGCGGAAGAGGCGAGUGGAAUUCCUGGUGUAGCGGUGAAAUGCGCAGAUAUCAGGAGGAACACCGAUUGCGAAGGCAGCUCGCUGGGACGUGACUGACGCUGAGACGCGAAAGCGUGGGGAGCAAACAGG
rnacentral:rRNA from 1 species